CAAUAGCGUAUACUAAAGUUGUUGCGAUUAAAAAGCUCGUAGUUGGAUCUCAGGCAUGGGCGCGCGGUCCGCCUCGCGGCGGUCACUGUGUGUUUUGUUUCCCAUCCUACGCUUCCCGGUUAUCAGCCCAUGGUGCUCUUCACUGAGCGUUUUGGGUGGCCGGAACGUUUACUUUGAAGAAAUUAGAGUGUUCAAAGCAGGCACGUCGCCUGAAUAAUGGUGCAUGGAAUAAUGGAAUAGGACCUCGGUUCUAUUUUGCUGGUUUUCGGAACACGAGGUAAUGAUUAAGAGGGACAGACGGGGGCAUCCGUAUUGCGGUGUUAGAGGUGAAAUUCUUGGAUCAUCGCAAGACGAACAACUGCGAAAGCAUUUGCCAAGCAUGUUUUCAUUAG
rnacentral:rRNA from 1 species